AAGCCCCAUGGACUGGGGAUGUUUUUCAUGAUUUUUCAGUGAGGUCAUAGGGGUGGUAACCUCUCAGGCAGAUUUUUAUAACUCUUCCUCUGAGUUAGUGAGAUCAAGCAUC
rfam:Tupaia chinensis contig87124, whole genome shotgun sequence.